CCUUCUUGGCAACCAGGGCACCCCGCUGACUCCUAGCCAGCUUCUCGUCCACGGGAUGACACACGGUCAUGAGAGCACGAGCUCGCUCCUCAUUCCUGAGAAACACCCCAAUGGCUGGGAAACACCAGGAGCCACAUUCCCUGAAAUCUGUAAGCCUUUUUCAAGCAAAAAACCCCACAGCGACGUCAAAGGGCAGUGUGUGAGAGUGAGGACUUCGGGGACUCUAAGGGCCAGGACUGUCUGGGUAGUGUGGGUGUGCAUAUACACAGCACCUAGCUCCCUGGCAGCCUGAUUCACAACUGCUACCUCGACAUGGAGCUGAAAUGCAAAUUAAUAAUAAAAGGCCAGUUGGAAAUACAGCUUGGUUUAUACGCAAACACUCUGACCUCUUCCUGCCAGGAUUCCUGGAGUCGCUAGCGCAGAGCUGUAGCUCACGAAAGCUUAUGCUCAAAUAAAUUUGUUAGUCUCUAAGGAGCCACAAGUACUCCUUUUCUUUUUGCGGAUACAGACUAACACGGCUGCUACUCUGAAGUCUGCCAUUAUGGAUUCCCUCCCUUCUGCCAAUUUGGGUAUUAGGCCCAGAUCCUCAGCUGCUGCAAACCAACCCCAAACCCUCCACCAUCCUCCCCCCCUAACAUCUACCUGCUCCCUGCUAAUCCCUGUCUCGCUCACCAGCUUCUUGGGGCCUGUGACAGCUACAGGGCGAACUGCAACUUAACACCUUACUUUAGUCCCUCUGAAGUGCACCCUCAGGGAACCAGCCUCGCUUCCUGCACCUCGCGCUAGCACCUCGCUCUGGGCAGAGCCUCAUGGUUCAGCCACUCUCAGACUGAGUCUGGGCUGCGGUGCCCCGGCUGGCUCCCAACCAUGGUUACGCCACAGCCUCCUGUGGCCUUUGUACCUGGCAGUUUCCCCUCAGGAGCUUGUGACAUCACCUGUUUGCAGGGACACACACAACCCGCAUUUUCCAAACAAAACGUCACGGAUUCACUCCUCAAAGGUACAAAGCAUGAGAAGAGAGACAAGCCCCUGCACGCCUGGGGAUUCCUUCCCCUUGGCCCAGCUAACUCCAGCGAAUACAGACUAACACUACUGCUACUCUGAAAACUGCUCCUACUGCACUUUCUACCUCUCUCCCUUUGUGGGAGUGGCACAAAGCUUUGCAUUGGCACACUUGUGGAGCCUCCCCUAGCUCCAUUUUUCUAGGGUCUUCGAGGCUUUAGGUUUCCUUGCAUCCCAGGCUUAACCCAGGCUCUUGCUUGGAUGGAGCCAGACAGGUAAUUUCUUCCCCACUGAUGGCUGUUAGCAUGGCUCCUUUGAAGGCCAAAAUUCUGCUCUGGGUUUCACCUUGAGUUUAAUGGAACAACACACCCACGUCAGACAAGAACCUGGCCCCAGGUGCACGUACUCUGCUCUGUACAUCUGCAAGGGCCCAGGCUGUUUUCAGACCAUCCCCCAUGAGGAGGAGGUGCAGUGGAAGGAGACAUGCAGUACUAUCAGUUCGAGGAGGAAAUCACUCUUUUCAAAGGCAUGGAAAGAAAUGAGUAUCUCAGAGCAUCUGUUGGAACAAAUUCUAGAUCGUGGACCAGAUUCGAAAGGAAAGGAAAGGAAAGGAAAGGAAAGGAAAGGAUCAUCCAUCUUCAAGGAAAGAUAAUAAACAGAUUCUAUAAAAACACAGAGACCCCUUGCUCCUCUUGGUGAUGCUUUUCCAUUACUGCCACACACAUUCAUAUGCAGCAUUCCACUAACAGCUCAGAGUCAAACGUUAACAGAGUGCCAAUGGACUUCCUCUUUUCUGCUUAGCGUAAACACGCUCACCUUUAGCUCCCAGCGAAAUGAAUGGGAGCUGAACACACUCAGCACCUUGUAGGAUUGGGCCCAACAUCUGGAUCGACCCUGCAUUCGCACCAUUUAAUCACAGAAAUUGAGUGACUGAUAUGAGUUAUUUAAA